GUGAAAAUAAUAAAGUUUCAUCAACAUGAAUUUAACAAAGAUGCUACAAAAAUAAAAAUGCAUCCACAAGAGUGGUGAAAAUAAAAAUGGAUAGAAAACCUUU